GAAUCUUAGACAAUGGGGGAAACCCUGAUCUAGCCAUGCCGCGUGAUCGAUGAAGGCCUUAGGGUUGUAAAGAUCUUUCAGCUGGGAAGAUAAUGACGGUACCAGCAGAAGAAGCCCCGGCUAACUCCGUGACAGCAGCCGCGGUAAUACGGAGGGGGCUAGCGUUAUUCGGCUUUAAUGGGCGUAAAGCGCACGUAGGCGGAUCAGAAAGUUAGGGGUGAAAUCCCGGGGCUCAACCUCGGAACUGCCUCUAAAACUCCUGGUCUUGAGGUCGAGAGAGGUGAGUGGAAUUCCGAGUGUAGAGGUGAAAUUCGUAGAUAUUCGGAGGAACACCAGUGGCGAAGGCGGCUCACUGGCUCGAUACUGACGCUGAGGUGCGAAAGCGUGGGGAGCAAACA
rnacentral:rRNA from 1 species